rnacentral:rRNA from 1 species
UGGGGAAUAUUGGACAAUGGGCGCAAGCCUGAUCCAGCAAUGCCGCGUGUGUGAAGAAGGCCUUCGGGUUGUAAAGCACUUUUAUCAGGAGCGAAACGCUGUCGGCUAAUACCCGGCGGAACUGACGGUACCUGAGGAAUAAGCACCGGCUAACUUCGUGCCAGCAGCCGCGGUAAUACGAAGGGUGCAAGCGUUAAUCGGAAUUACUGGGCGUAAAGCGUGCGUAGGCGGUUUCUUAAGUCUGCUGUGAAAUCCCCGGGCUCAACCUGGGAAUGGCAGUGGAUACUGGGAGGCUAGAGUGUGUCAGAGGGUGGUGGAAUUCCCGGUGUAGCGGUGAAAUGCGUAGAGAUCGGGAGGAACAUCAGUGGCGAAGGCGGCCACCUGGGACAACACUGACGCUGAGGCACGAAAGCGUGGGGAGCAAACAGGAUUAGAUACCCUGGUAGUCCACGCUCUAAACGAUGCGAACUGGAUGUUGGUCUCAACUCGGAGAUCAGUGUCGAAGCUAACGCGUUAAGUUCGCCGCCUGGGGAGUACGGUCGCAAGACUGAAACUUAAAUGAAUUGAC